UGUAGAUUUAUUAGUUACUAGAAUAAUGUCUUUAUAAGCAAGACAAAAUUUAGAUUUUGUCAAUAUCGGUUUAUCACUGAUGUGAUAUCCGGGGUAUGACAAUUCAGCACUUUUGUAUAAAAAGGUUAUUAAAAAUCCAUACUGAUCGAUGCGAAAAAUAAAUAUGAGUCAAAAUAUAAAAACCGUGCUUGUGCCUCAGUGUUAUGGUGUGUCUUCAAGACGGAAAUUACGGUAUAAUUAUGGCUUAAAACCCCGCAAACAUGGAAAGGUGAUACCGCUGUUGUGGACUUGAAGCAUUGAAGACGCUAGGGAUCACGUGAGAAAACCACACACGAAAAAUGUUCGCAUAAGAUACCGCAAAAAUGUAAAGGUAUGUUGGUGUUUAAAUUAAAUACAUUUGAUUAUUUUAUUAUUUCGUGUUCUAUACAUACAGGUGAUGUCGCUGCUGUGGCCUUGAAGCAUUGAAGAUGCCAGGGAUCAUCAGAUCUCCAGAUCCAGUGAGAAAACCACACACGAAAAAUUUUCGCAUAAGAGACAAGUAAGGUUGUCUGAACCGAAUUAUUCUUCUAUUAAUGUAAAACUAUUAUCUGUAUUUUUUAUUUUUACCAGUUUGAUUUUGGUUGAUUUCUAUUUUGCGAUAAGCAUGUUUUCUUGGAUCGAAGGA